rnacentral:rRNA from 1 species
GUCGAGAAUCUUUCGCAAUGCCCGAAAGGGUGACGAUGCGACGCCGCGUGGAGGAUGAAGGCUUUCGGGUCGUAAACUCCUUUUAGUAGGGAAGAAUGGUGAGGAUCAAAUAGUACCCUCAUUUGACGGUACCUACAGAAGAAGCCACGGCUAACUCCGUGCCAGCAGCCGCGGUAAGACGGAGGUGGCGAGCGUUGCUCGGAUUUAUUGGGUGUAAAGGGUCUGUAGGCGGCCUUGUAAGUCAGAUGUGAAAUCCCACCGCUCAACGGUGGAACUGCAUUUGAAACUGCAAGGCUUGAGUGCGGUAGAGGUGAGGGGAAUUCCCGGUGUAAGAGUGAAAUCUGUAGAUAUCGGGAGGAACACCUGUGGCGAAGGCGCCUCACUGGGCCGUGUCUGACGCUGAUAGACGAAAGCUAGGGGAGCGAACAGG